UACGUAGGUGGCAAGCGUUGUCCGGAAUUAUUGGGCGUAAAGCGCGCGCAGGCGGUCCUUUAAGUCUGAUGUGAAAGCCCACGGCUCAACCGUGGAGGGUCAUUGGAAACUGGGGGACUUGAGUACAGAAGAGAAGAGUGGAAUUCCACGUGUAGCGGUGAAAUGCGUAGAGAUCAUGAGGAAGACCAGUGGCGAAGGCGGGUCUCUGGACAGUUCCUGACACUGAGACACGAAGGCCAGGGGAGCAAACGGG
rnacentral:rRNA from 1 species